CAACACAUUAUAAUGGCUGAUAAAGAGUGUGAACACAAACUACGAAAGCUGGCAUAAAUCUUGAACUUUGAAUGCUUCAAUUUGUUUGGGAAAAAAGUUAAAAGUGACAUGUAUCGAUUAAUCUUUUCCCAACCUGAUCAGAGUCAGUCGACACUAGUAACAUGUUAUAAUUAGUCGAUCUGCAGUGACCCGUGCCCAGAAACCAACUAGCCCUAAUUGAUUCAACCCCAGAGAUGUGAAAGAUUGCAACUCUGACUGAUGCAUGCUUUCUUGGUGUGAUAUGCAGGAGGUUGAAUACUCAGGUGGAGGGAUUGCUUUGCAUUGAACACAUCUGAAAGAUGGAGGAGAAGAGUGACGAGCAAAGCAAGAACUCUUUAAAGAUAUUUUCAUCUAUCUGUGAUGUCGUUGAAUUCAAGCUCUAUAUGUAAUAAACCCAGGCAAACAUCGUCAACUCUUCUCUUUCAGUGAUACUUUAGUGAUGUUUAAGUUUUGGAGGUCGAGGAACUGGUUUUGGUUUGAGCAUUUUGAAUGAAUGGGUUUUCGGUUUUGGUAGUGUGAUGUUGAUAGGUGUAGAGGAUCGGAUUUUCAAAAUCGAUGUAUAUAUGAAUGGCAACCGGCUUGAGUCGGGGCGGUUGAGAAUCGGCUUGAGUCGGGGUGGUUACCAUUUCAGAUCGAUGAUAGUGGUUUCAAUUUAAGUAUAAUAUAUUCCAUUUCAGAUCUCGAAUCCUAUUAGUCGGCUUCUGAAUGCUAGGUUUCCCUAUAUUGAAUUUCUGUUAACUGCAACUAUUUCCAGUUGCUAUCAGUUUUGCAGUCAACAGUAUCAUAUUACAAUUCUGGAAACAGAGAGACAUACGAGGUUAGGAAAGCAGAUAUACAGAGUUGAAUGUGAAUUAUCUUUACUGUUAUAUCAAUCAAGCUUGUAUACAUCUUGUUCAAUUUUGUAAUAAUGAUUAGACUGCACCCGUCAUCAUUGCCAAAUCG
rnacentral:lncRNA from 1 species